AUUGAACGCUGGCGGCAGGCCUAACACAUGCAAGUCGAACGAGUGGCGGACGGGUGAGUAAUGUCUGGGAAACUGCCUGAUGGAGGGGGAUAACUACUUGAAACGGUAGCUAAUACCGCAUACCAUCGGAUGUGCCCCGAUGGGAUUAGCUCGUAGGUGGGGUAAAGGCUCACCUAGGCGACGAUCCCUAGCUGGGCUGAGAGGAUGACCAGCCACACUGGAACUGAGACACGGUCCAGACUCCUACGGGAGGCAGCAGGGGGGAAUAUUGCACAAGGGGUGCAAGCCUGAUGCAGCCAUGCCGCGGGUAUGAAGAAGGCCUGCGGGUUGUAAAGUACUUUCAGCGGGGAGGCGUUACCCGCAGAAGAAGCACCGGCUAACUCCGUGCCAGCAGCCGCGGUAAUAC
rnacentral:rRNA from 1 species